rnacentral:rRNA from 1 species
CCUACGGGAGGCAGCAGUAGGGAAUAUUGGGCAAUGGAGGCAACUCUGACCCAGCCAUGCCGCGUGCAGGAAGACGGUCCUCUGGAUUGUAAACUGCUUUUGAAUGGGAAGAAUGUGCUCCUUGCGAGGGGUAAUGACGGUACCAUUAGAAUAAGCCACGGCUAACUACGUGCCAGCAGCCGCGGUAAUACGUAGGUGGCGAGCGUUAUCCGGAUUUAUUGGGUUUAAAGGGUGCGUAGGCGGCUUAAUAAGUCGGUGGUUAAAAGUAGCAGCUUAACUGUUUUACAUGCCAUCGAUACUGUUGAGCUUGAGAUAUUUGGAGGCAGCUAGAAUUUCCGGUGUAGCGGUGAAAUGCAUAGAUACCGGAAGGAAUACCAAUUGCGAAGGCAGGUUGCUACGAAUAAACUGACGCUGAUGCACGAAAGCGUGGGGAUCAAACAGGA